AAAUAGAGAGAUUCUUGGAACUGUCUAUCUCCUGCCUGAGACUUUCCUCAUUCUGCCAAAUGAUGUCUGGCAGCUUUAGUGGAUCAACAUGUGCCAUGUCGAUCGAUCUUGUGCCAGGGUUUCCCAAGAGGUGGUGUCGAUAUCCAGGGAAUUGAAGGAGGCUUUCAACGUGUCUUUCAGAGAUAAAGAGGGAACAUACACACUGGCUGGCUGCCUACUCCACUCCUCCCCCAGCAUCUACCCAGUUGCAAUCAAGAACUCAGGGUGAGCCUACAGAGAACCUGGAACACGACCAGCAUGCGAUGGAAGUUCAAGAAAUAUUUCACCUAUCCUGGCUAGGUUCCUGCAUCUUUUACAUUCAGUAAUGACAUUUCUCCCACUAAAGAUGUGGUGAUAUGAAAACAUGUGUUCUGUCUGCUUUGAUGAGAAUUCUGCCAGGAAAAAAUUAAUAGAAACAUCAGAAGUGAAUAAAAAUACUUUUUCUC